UGAUUUAAACUUAAAAUACACAGGCUGAGAGUUCUGAAACAUUUGAGUUAUGCAACUUUGCUCUACAAAACAAGGCUCCCUCGACCAGUUUCACAAGAUUUCUACAAGGGGCCUUGGCUUUAAAGUGUUAAAACAGACAGAAAGGGUCUCUACCAUCAGAGAGCUUGUAGACCAGUGAGAAUGAAUCAGAAGACACUCCGUUCCUGCUCUGCCUUGGAGCUGAGACUUCCUUCCAAACAAUAGCUAUCACUUAUUGGGAUUGUUGCAGAGUUCCCUGAAGACAGAAGAAGCAGGCAGAAAAGAGCUGAGUGAGACCUCCCAAAGAAGAUCACAAAGAGAAGAGGACAUUAUACCAAGGACGUGGCGCAGGCCAGUGGCCACAGUGCUGGACCUGAAGCCGAGAGGACCCACAUGUAUAUCCUGGCCAAUUCGGGCAUCUUAGCCUUUCUGUGCUUCACUUUCCUUAUUUGUGAAAUCAGCAUUCUGAUCACGAGUAAAUAAAAAUUGCUGCCGUUGAUCAAGGGCACUCACUGGGACAGGCACUGUGCUCCCCUCGUGCCUGGCACCGUCUCAUUUAAUCUUUACAGCAGCCUGAUGAAGACAAGGGGGCUCAGGAUGGUGAACUGACCUCUACAUAGCAGCAAAGUCGGCGUCUGAACUUGUCAGAGCAACAUAUCAAUUAAACUAAUUUUUCCUGGCUGGGCACAGUGACUCAAGCCUACAAUCCCAGAAUUUUGGGAGGCCGAGGCGGGUGGAUCACCUGAGGUCAGGAGUUUAAGACAAGCCUCGCCAACACGGUGAAAACCCAUUUCUAUUAAAAAUACAAAAAAAUUAGCUGGGCAUGGUGGCCGGUGCCUGAAUCCCAGCUAUUAAGGAGGCUGAGGCAGGAGAAUCGCUUGACCUUGGGAGGUGGAGGUUGCAGUGAGUCAGGAAGGCACCAUUGCACUCCAGCCUGGGGAACAAGAGCAAAACUCCAACUCAAACAAACAAAGCAAAACAAAAAACACACAUAUUUUUCCAAAGCAAUAGCAGGCUGGGUUAAACCAGUCAGUCUCCCAUAAGAAAAGUUCCUGAAAAUCAAUAGCCCCAUUUUUCUGAAGGCAAGUCAGGCCAUGGUUACCUCUCUUUGAGGACUGGCUGAGGACCGAGUGGGAGGGUUCACUUCAUGCCACAACAGCAGGGUUGAUUUAUGUCAGCCAUGAGUGGCUUACAGCCAACGGAUGCCCCUUUCUAAUGGGUCACAGCCCUGUUCUAGUUGGCUAGUGCCCUAUUCUGGACGGUUGGUACCAGAAGCACAUUGGUUUAAAUAUUCUGCAUAUCAGCCCCACAUCACAGUG